AACGAACGCUGGCGGCAUGCCUAACACAUGCAAGUCGAACGAGACCUUCGGGUCUAGUGGCGCACGGGUGCGUAACGCGUGGGAACCUGCCCUUAGGUUCGGAAUAACUCCCCGAAAGGGGUGCUAAUACCGGAUAAUGUCUUCGGACCAAAGAUUUAUCGCCUUUGGAUGGGCCCGCGUUGGAUUAGCUAGUUGGUAGGGUAAAAGCCUACCAAGGCGACGAUCCAUAGCUGGUCUGAGAGGAUGAUCAGCCACACUGGGACUGAGACACGGCCCAGACUCCUACGGGAGGCAGCAGAGGGGAAUAUUGGACAAUGGGCGAAAGGCUGAUCCAGCAAUGCCGCGUAAGUGAUGAAGGCCUUAGGGUUGUAAAGCUCUUUUACCCGGGAUGAUAAUGACAGUACCGGGAGAAUAAGCUCCGGCUAACUCCGUG
rnacentral:rRNA from 1 species